rnacentral:rRNA from 1 species
CAGCACCUCAAGUGGUCAGGAUGAUUAUUGGGCUUAAAGCAUCCGUAGCCGGCGCUGUAAGUUUUCGGUUAAAUCUGUACGCUCAACGUACAGGCUGCCGGGAAUACUGCAGCGCUAGGGAGUGGGAGAGGUAGACGGUACUCGGUAGGAAGGGGUAAAAUCCUUUGAUCUAUUGAUGACCACCUGUGGCGAAGGCGGUCUACCAGAACACGUCCGACGGUGAGGGAUGAAAGCUGGGGGAGCAAACCGGAUUAGAUACCCGAGUAGUCC